UACGUAGGCAGCGAGCGUUGUUCGGAGUUACUGGGCGUAAAGGGUGUGUAGGCGGUUCUUUAAGUUUGGUGUGAAAUCUCCCGGCUCAACCGGGAGGGUGCGCCGAAUACUGAGGGACUAGAGUACGGGAGAGGAAAGUGGAAUUCCUGGUGUAGCGGUGAAAUGCGUAGAUAUCAGGAGGAACACCGGUGGUGUAGACGGCUUUCUGGACCGUAACUGACGCUGGGACACGAAAGCGUGGGGAGCAAACAGG
rnacentral:rRNA from 1 species